GCGUUCGUGGUGUAAUGGUUAGCAUGGAUGCCUUACAAGCCUUCGACUGAUGUUCGAUUCCACCCGAACGCA